UACAGAGGUCUCAACCGUUGUUCGGAUUCAUUGGGCGUAAAGGGUGCGUAGGCGGUCGUGCAAGUCGGAUGUGAAAUCUCAGGGCUCAACCCUGAAACUGCAUUCGAUACUGCGCGGCUAGAGUGCUGGAGGGGAGACUGGAAUUUACGGUGUAGCAGUGAAAUGCGUAGAUAUCGUAAGGAAGACCAGUGGCGAAGGCGGGUCUCUGGGCCGAUACUGACGCUGAGGAGCGAAAGCGUGGGGAGCAAACAGG
rnacentral:rRNA from 1 species